rnacentral:rRNA from 1 species
GAUGAACGCUGGCGGCGUGCUUAACACAUGCAAGUCGAACGGAAAGGCCCUGCUUUUGUGGGGUGCUCGAGUGGCGAACGGGUGAGUAACACGUGAGUAACCUGCCCUUGACUUCGGGAUAUCUUCAGGAAACUGGGACUCAUACCGGAUAGGUGCUCCUGCUGCAUGGCGGGGGUUGGAAAGUUUCGGCGGUGGGGGAUGGACUCGCGGCAUAUCAGCUUGUUGGUGGGGUAGUGGCUUACCAAGGCUUUGCCGGGUAGCCGGGCUGAGCGGGGGACCGGCCACGUUGGAACUGAGAUACGGCCCAGACUCCAACGGGAGGCAGCAGAGGAGAAUAUUGCACAAUGGGCGGAAGCCUGAUGCAGCAACGCCGCGUGCGGGAUGACGGCCAGCGGGUUGGAAACCGCUUUCGCCUGUGACGAAGCGUGAGUGACGGUAAUGGGUAAAGAAGCACCGGCUAACUACGUG